rnacentral:tRNA from 2 species
GGCAGGGUAGCUCAGUUGGUGAGAGCGUCGGAUUCAUAACCCGGAGGUCGGGAGUUCGAAUCUCCCCCCUGCCACCA